CCAUCAACUGCAUCGUUCCAAGGGGCGGACCCCCUCCCCCAACAGACUCGCGGCCGCUCGAUCGAGACGGGUCCGAGGGAGGAGAGCGACCGGCUCCCUCCUCUCCAGCGAGGCUUGGGUUUGAAGUUCACCGGGUACCAACGGGAUGACCACGACGAGUCGCUCUGCGGCACGCCGGCACACCCACUUGCAGUUCAGCACGCGGCGACCACCUCCACGAAGUGGGUGCUCCGGACCGCCACCGCCGGCGCCGUGCCCUUGCCUUCCCCGCUGGAUGUAGUCCCGAUCUGGUUCCCCUCCCCCAAGCCGUACCUCGACGAGCUCUUCCCUGUGUGCUAGUACUGGUGGACUACAGCGACUGCGGCAGCCAAAAACACCAGUCGUUGUUCAGUGUUGGAUCCGCCUUCCCCCUGUUUGCAGCUCCUUUGAAUACUUUUUGCAGCUCACUGAAUAUAUUUUUGCAGCUCAUUGUGAAAA